AUGGGAGUGAAGGGCCUGAAGCAGAUGUGCUAUGAACAAGUCCCAUACAUUUAUGUCAGAAACCUCCAGGAAUUCUGCAGUUCCUACGCACGGUGAUUACGGGCUUCCAAUCUCAGGCGAACGAAAAAGAGGGAAAUGUCCCGUGAUAAUCAUUAACCUGCGAGGCAAAUAUUGCGAAACACAAUACAAGUAAUCCGCUUCAGAUGAUAAGAUGAGAAGGAGCUCACAGGGCAGCACUCUGGGCAGAGAGACUCACAGCAUUAGAUCAGCCCGAGUGAAGGUGCGGCAAUGGGGCAGCAAUCCACAGGAGUCUUCCACCUUCUGCUUCUAGCCGCUACCACGGUCACGGCUCACAGCCUGGUGAAGCUGAGCACUGACAACCUGCUGGUGGCGCCAUGUCACCACCGUGUCACUCUGCACUGCAACAUCUCAUCGGAGACACAGCCCUCAGUCAUACACCUGGCCUGGCUAAAUGUACACACUGGAAAACAGCUGUGCGUGGUCGACGAUCUAGGAGAGCUAACUGAGGCGCAGGGCGUCCAUUGUAUCUACGAACCCGGGGAACAGCUGAUUCUCACCUUCAGGCACAUCCGGGCGGUCGACCAGGGCCAGUACAUCUGCAAGCUCCGCUCCAACAGAGGGAUAAAAGAGGUCUCCGCCACGGUGAAGCUGCAAGAGUGCUACCGAGGGGUCCAUCACGAUUCUUCAUCGUCUGCAAUGACGUGCAGCUUCUCUGGCGUGUAUCCAGAGGGUGAAGUGCACUGGUUCGAUGGUGACAGGAACAUAACCGGGGACUCACAGCACCACUCCAUAAAGUUCAACCAUGACGGGACCUUCAAUGUGUCCGGCAGCCUCCCUGCCAGGACUCCGACGAGGGCCCAUCACUGCUCCCUGUGGAUGCACGGAUCGGGCUCCUACCUGGCAAGACACCUGCUGCCCCAGAGCAGCCAGAUCCACUCCCAAGCAGGCAACGGUGCCACCUCAGUGCAGGUGGUAGGCAUGAGUCUUGGCCUUCUGCUCGCCUGGCUUCUGAUGCCUUAGUCAAGACUAGAUUACAGGAAGAUACUCCAGCCAACAAUGAGAAAACAAACAAACCGACUCCCAGUCAAAGACUCAGCACAUGGAGAAAGUACUUUUCUUCUUUAUUUCUUUUUUCUACCUUUUCAGCUUUCAGAUUAGGUUUGACAGCCUGCUUUCACACUUGUCCGCUUUAUUCCUUCAGUCCAAGCAGUCUUUUUUUGGAUUGUUUCAUUCCUGGUCUCUAGACUGUAAUACACUGUAAAACUGUUUUAAACAAAAGAAGUUGCUUCCAGGAGGAAAUUACAAUUGCUGUAGAUAAUAAGCUGUUAUCGGGAUUGACUCUGGCACCUGUGAAGUCAUCUCGGUAGCUUUUUCUGCGCUCAGUCUGAGGUCAAACUCCAAUGGCCCAUCCAUUGAAUACUGAUGUAUUCCAAUCCGAAGCAUGUAAAAUGGACUUCCUUUACAGCGGCUCCGUGUUCAAAUUGUUCGCUCUUUGUGAGGUGCCCUUUGGUCACAGUAACACGUAUUUGAUAGUCAAAGACAAAUUUUCUUACCAAUGAAACUGAGUUUUAAAAAAAGUCUCAGCUGUAAUCUUUCAGUUGGGUUUACACAAUGAAAAAAUCCGUGGGCAGAAGUAAAUGGUGAGCGAUAAUAACAGCGAUUACUUCUGCUUUUGUCCAGCGGUCCGUGUUGUUCUGUGCGUCACUCUUGCAGCUGGCGGAAUUUUUGUUGUAGCACAUUCUUAAAACUAUAACACCAUAAAACACUAGACAGAACGAAAAAAUGUAGAGAAAAAAAUUAUGUCGAAAGUCAAAAUUUGAGGAAAAGGGAUUUUAACCACACACACACACACACACAUUUUCAGAACCGCUUGUCCCUUACGGGGUCACAGGGAACCGGAGCCUACCCGGCAACACAGGGCGUAAGGCCGGAGGGGGAAGGGGAUACACCCAGGACGGGACGCCAGUCCGCCGCAAGGCACCCCAAGCGGGACUUGAACCCCAGACCCACUGGAGAGCAGGACUGCGGUCCAACCCACUGCGCCACUGCACCCCCGGAUUUUAACCAUUGCAAUUCAAUAGCUGUUCAAAUAGGCAGGGGUUGUGCUGCUUAUGCAUCAAUUAAUCACUGGUGUUUUUUUUUUUUGGGGGGGGGCACUAGAAGGCCAUAGUGGGCUGAAGGGCAAAUUAGCGUGGACAGCAAAUGAACUGCAUGACAUUUUGUAACCUCAGCUACAGAUGAGGAGCAGGAGGCGCAGUAACUUGUAAUUUGCACUGAGCUUAACAGGGAACCAUUAAGAGCUCAUGCCAUUAUGAUGCCAAUUUAGUUCAGUUUAGAACAUGAUCCGAGCAGAAGUGAGAUCUUGGGAUUUUGUGCGAGUGCUUGUGCAGAGAAAUUGGUACCAAUGAUUCUGAGCGUAGAGUGUAGCAAACAUAAGUAUUUGGGAACCUUCAGGAUCAGCUUUAAUGUUAAUAUCCUUAACCAGCAGGUUUAGGUGAACAGAACGGCUAUGUAGAAACGCAGACAUGGCUGCUCUAAACAUUUCGAAAAAGUAACUGGUUGUGACCCGGUGUAAAGGGUUAAAUGUGGGAUGUGUGCACUGACAGGGUGUUGUGCUUUGUUUGCUUAGAAAAUUCAUGUUUUAUCAAAGCAGGUGAACGGAGUGUACAGUCACAGAACUGCAAUGGUUCACUUCUGCUAUUACUGUUGUUUAGAUUGCUGUGCUGAGGUGUGACAAUGCUGUGGUUAUGAUAGCGCUGUUAUACCAUUACAUGUAACAUGCAUCCAUUGAUGACCACAGCAGCAUCAAACAGUGGCCAGAAUUAGAAUUUAUUGACUGCACUGUAUAUGUUGCUUUUUCAUUUUUUAAGCCUUUCCUUCAUGCUUUCAUUCAAGCAGCAUUUUGUCUAUUUGUUUUUAUCAUUAUACCACAUAAAUUCCAAGGUCUUUGCUUUCAUGAUACUCCUGAAAAGCAAAGGUUGAUGCAGCAUAUUGUAAUAAUCCACAUUACUGGGGGUUUGAGCGGGAGAAUUAGUAUAUCAUAAAUAGUUGAAUUGUGGGUAAAAUGAAACUCUGUUCAACCGCUGUAGGGACGCAUAGGGAAUAUAAGGGGCCGAGUGCCUGUUGGCCGGUAAAAAAGAGAGGGCCACUGUUCCAAUAAACAUUUGUAAUGAAUGCUGUCUGUGGGUCCA
ensembl:lncRNA